UAACACAUGCAAGUCGAACGGGGCGUUGCGCUGAAUUUGAGAGCAGCUUGCUGCAGGAUAAUUCUUGUAACGCCUAGUGCGGACGGGUGAGUAACGCGUGAGCAACCUGCCUUACAGAGGGGGACAACAUUGGGAAACCGAUGCUAAUACCGCAUAACGUACCGGGGGGGCAUCCCUUUGGUACCAAAGGAGCAAUCCGCUGUAAGAUGGGCUCGCGUCUGAUUAGAUAGUUGGUGGGGUAACGGCCUACCAAGUCGACGAUCAGUAGCCGGACUGAGAGGUUGAACGGCCACAUUGGGACUGAGACACGGCCCAGACUCCUACGGGAGGCAGCAGUGGGGGAUAUUGCACAAUGGAGGGAACUCUGAUGCAGCAACGCCGCGUGAGGGAAGAAGGUUUUCGGAUUGUAAACCUCUGUUUUUGGUGAAGAAAGAAAUGACGGUAGCCGAAGAGGAAGCCACGGCUAACUACGUGCCAGCAGCCGCGGUAAUACG
rnacentral:rRNA from 1 species